ACGGGAGGCAGCAGUGAGGAAUAUUGGUCAAUGGGCGGAAGCCUGAACCAGCCAAGUAGCGUGAAGGAUGACGGCCCUACGGGUUGUAAACUUCUUUUGCCGGGGGAUAAAAAACGGGGCGCGUCCCGUCUUGCAGGUACCCGUGCGAAUAAGGACCGGCUAAUUCCGUGCCAGCAGCCGCGGUAAUACGGAAGGUCCGGGCGUUAUCCGGAUUUAUUGGGUUUAAAGGGAGCGUAGGCGGUCUGUUAAGCGUGCUGUGAAAUGUCCUGGCUCAACCAGGGAACUGCAGCGCGAACUGGCGGACUUGAGUGCGCAGGAAGUUGGCGGAAUUCGUCGUGUAGCGGUGAAAUGCUUAGAUAUGACGAAGAACUCCGAUUGCGAAGGCAGCUGACUGUAGCGUUACUGACGCUGAUGCUCGAAAGUGCGGGUAUCGAACAGGAUUAGAUACCCUGGUA
rnacentral:rRNA from 1 species